rnacentral:rRNA from 1 species
CUACGGGAUGCUGCAGUGGGGAAUAUUGGACAAUGGGGGAAACCCUGAUCCAGCAAUGCCGCGUGUGUGAAGAAGGCCUGCGGGUUGUAAAGCACUUUCGGUUGGGAGGACUGCUUCUAGCACUAAUAUUGUUGGAAGUUGACGUUACCUUCAGAAGAAGCACCGGCUAACUCCGUGCCAGCAGCCGCGGUAGUACGGAGGGUGCAAGCGUUAAUCGGAAUUACUGGGCGUAAAGCGCGCGUAGGCGGCUAGAUCAGUCGGGUGUGAAAGCCCCGGGCUUAACCUGGGAACUGCAUCCGAUACUGUCUAGCUUGAGUACAGGAGAGGAGAGUGGAAUUCCACAUGUAGCGGUGAAAUGCGUAGAUAUGUGGAGGAACACCAAUGGCGAAGGCAGCUCCCUGGCCUGAUACUGACGCUGAGGUGCGAAAGCGUGGGGAGCAAACAGGAUUAGAUACCCUCGUAGUC